rnacentral:rRNA from 1 species
CACGUAGGCGGCCUGUUAAGUGUGGAGUGAAAUCCCACGGCUCACCCGUGGAACUGCUUCGCAUACUGGCAAGCUCGAGGACGGUAGGGGAGAGCGGAACUCUUGGUGGAGCGGUGAAAUGCGUAGACAUCAAGAGGAACACCGACGGCGAAGGCAGCUCUCUGGUCCGUUUCUGACGCUGAGGCUCGAAAGCAUGGGUAGCGAACG